CCCAGCAGGGCAGAAGGCUUCUGGCGAUUGGGUGUCCGAUCCUUCUGAUUCUCACAACGUCCUCCCCUGUGAUGGCUUGUCCAGUGCUGGUCUCCCGCAGUAAAUAACGAGGGUGUGGUGGUAUCUUCCCAGAUAUGCUUGCCGCGCAAGGCGAGGUUCACUCUCCAUUCCCUUGUGACCGUUCCCAGCUUCUCCUCCAGAACCCACCACACUAGCAGUUCAACUCAACCUCCACUGCCUUCCCAGUGACAUACCUAAAUUGCUUGAAUAGCAGUGAGGAGGGUCCUUCUACACCAGCGAGUGAUCAGAUAUAAAACUAAGAACUGCCUUGUACAAAGCCAGAACAGAUACAUUGACAGAAUCAUCAGGAAGGAUAAUAGGUGCCCAGCCUCAGCACCAUCAUCUCUCACGUUGACUUCUGAAGACCCUCCUAAUUGAUCUCUGUGUCUACCUGACCCCCAGUAGUCUGCUCUUCAUAUUGCUGUCACUGUGACUGUGGCUGUCGCAGAGGAGGAAUGAUAGUGGACAGCCUCUCACUGUGCUACCGCAACAAACUCAUCUUAGCCCCUAUGGUUCGGGUAGGGACUCUCCCAAUGCGGCUGCUGGCCCUGGAUUAUGGAGCGGACAUUGUGUACU